UACGUAGGGGGCUAGCGUUGUCCGGAAUCAUUGGGCGUAAAGAGCGCGUAGGCGGUCCGGUAAGUCAGCUGUGAAAGUCAAGGGCUCAACCCUUGAAAGCCGGUUGAUACUGUCGGGCUAGAGUCCGGAAGAGGCGAGUGGAAUUCCCGGUGUAGCGGUGAAAUGCGCAGAUAUCGGGAAGAACAUCGGUGGCGAAAGCGCUCUGCUGGACUGCAACUGACACUCAGGGACGAAAGCUAGGGGAGCGAAUGGG
rnacentral:rRNA from 1 species